rnacentral:rRNA from 1 species
UACGAAGGGGGCUAGCGUUGCUCGGAAUCACUGGGCGUAAAGCGCACGUAGGCGGCUUUUUAAGUCAGGGGUGAAAUCCUGGAGCUCAACUCCAGAACUGCCUUUGAUACUGAGAAGCUUGAGUCCGGGAGAGGUGAGUGGAACUGCGAGUGUAGAGGUGAAAUUCGUAGAUAUUCGGAAGAACACCAGUGGCGAAGGCGGCUCACUGGUCCGGUACUGACGCUGAUGUGCGAAAGCGUGGGGAGCAAACAGG